rnacentral:rRNA from 1 species
UACGAAGGGGGCUAGCGUUGCUCGGAAUUACUGGGCGUAAAGCGCACGUAGGCGGUCUUUUAAGUCGGGGGUGAAAUCCUGGAGCUCAACUCCAGAACUGCCUUCGAUACUGGAAGACUUGAGUCCGGGAGAGGUGAGUGGAACUGCGAGUGUAGAGGUGAAAUUCGUAGAUAUUCGCAAGAACACCAGUGGCGAAGGCGGCUCACUGGCCCGGUACUGACGCUGAUGCACGAAAGCUAGGGGAGCAAACAGG